AAGUCGUAACAAGGUUUCCGUAGGUGAACCUGCCGAAGGAUCAUUAACACGUAUCCAAAUGUUAAAACCCCCCCCUUGAACUUUCAUCCUGCUCUUGUAACCCGCGUAGUUCGCAAUCUCUUAUAAAUCAUAGCCAAAAAUUUGUAUUAUUCAGAGACCUCUGGCUACGUGCGAACAUUGGAACAGUUACAUUCGAGCGGUAGUUCUAUAGGCAAUGUUAGCGCUUCUACGAUUCCUGUAAACCGUACACUCGGGCAGGAGCUUUGCCAAAGGGUCCCCAUGCCCCCUAAUAACCCCACAGUUUAAUGUGAAGCUCAAUGUAAUACAUUGGGUAAAAACACCGAACAACUGUUAACAAUGGAUAUCUUGGUUCUC
rnacentral:misc_RNA from 1 species